CGGUGAAUACGUUCCCGGGUCUUGUACUCACCGCCCGUCACACCAUGGGAGUUGUGUUUGCCUUAAGUCAGGAUGCUAAAUUGGCUACUGCCCACGGCACACACAGCGACUGGGGUGAAGUCGUAACAAGGUAACCGUAGGUGAACCUGCGGUUGGAUCACCUCCUUUCUAG
rnacentral:rRNA from 1 species